CGGAGCCGUCGGCCCGGCCCGCCCCAGGCUCCGCUCGGCAGCGCAGAGCGGACGCGCAGCCUGAUCGCUUGGGGGGGGGUUCCCGGCGCAAUAAAAGGCUUUUAAGGGAGCAGCACCCGGCUCGUCCCAGGAGAAAGGCGGCAGCAGGGGAAAGUGUUCAAUAAUCCUGAUGAGGGUUGCACAGCUGAGUGCUGUUGCAGCACUACUUCAGAGGAGCACAUCUCUGAAUACUUAUGGAGCCUUGUCCUACAGGCAGAAGUACGUUAACAAGUAAGCGAGGACUCAAAGUGAAUCAGUGCCCACACUCAAGUUACAGCUUUGUUUCCAGCUAUUACAGUCUAGCCAUACUAACUAAAACAGCUAAUAAUACUAGUGCAUUGUAGCCACAGUAGGCAUUGUAGCCUUUACUGAGCAAGUUAAGUCCAUGCACUUGGAUGUCUUUGUGGCCAGUAUAUGAGCCACUUUGUAAAAGCUCACCUACGUGUGUUGGGAUCACACUGUUCAGAAAGUUUUAAGCAUUAGUGUUUUCUUCAACAAGAAACUACUGCAUUGUGAGACAUCCAUAAUCUCAGAGAACCUGAAUGUAUGGGAUGCUUCUCCCUCUGGGGUGAAGUGUCAGGUUUGCAGCUGUUUCCCAAAAAGGAGUUCAGAAUUUUGAAAAGCUUUACUCACUUCAGAUCACGUUUUGAGGACAGACUAGUUGAUGUCACCAAGUGAACUAAACACCAGAUCAUUGCUGUUUUUGUUCUAGUUCUGUUUAACAUAAAGGAACUCUGACAAAAUUCAUGGACAUUUGCUGCCUUUGAGAGCUGUUAAACUAAACCACCAGUGAGCUUGUUCAUUCAAUGGCAGGACAGUGUGGCUGUGAACACGAUGCUGCUCAUUCCUGAGAUGUGGUAAUGUCCAAAUGCCUCAGAAUCUGACAGCAGCAACCUGGCAAGAGGAGAAGUCACUUGUCUGCUUUGGAAAAUCCCCACAACUAAGUGCA
rnacentral:lncRNA from 1 species